rnacentral:rRNA from 1 species
GUACACUCCUACGGGAGGCAGCAGUGGGGAAUAUUGCACAAUGGGCGCAAGCCUGAUGCAGCCAUGCCGCGUGUAUGAAGAAGGCCUUCGGGUUGUAAAGUACUUUCAGCGGGGAGGAAGGCGAUAAGGUUAAUAACCUUGUCGAUUGACGUUACCCGCAGAAGAAGCACCGGCUAACUCCGUUCCAGCAGCCGCGGUAAUACGGAGGGUGCAAGCGUUAAUCGGAAUUACUGGGCGUAAAGCGCACGCAGGCGGUCUGUCAAGUCGGAUGUGAAAUCCCCGGGCUCAACCGGGGAACUGCAUUCGAAACUGGCAGGCUAGAGUCUUGUAGAGGAGGGUAGAAUUCCAGGUGUAGCGGUGAAAUGCGUAGAGCUCUGGAGGAAUACCGGUGGCGAAGGCGGCCCCCUGGACAAAGACUGACGCUCAGGUGCGAAAGCGUGGGGAGCAAACAGGAUUAGAAACCCGGGUAGUCCCAUG